GACGAACGCUGGCGGCGUGCCUAAUACAUGCAAGUAGAACGCUGAAGGAGGAGCUUGCUUCUCUGGAUGAGUUGCGAACGGGUGAGUAACGCGUAGGUAACCUGCCUGGUAGCGGGGGAUAACUAUUGGAAACGAUAGCUAAUACCGCAUAAGAGUGGAUGUUGCAUGACAUUUGCUUAAAAGGUGCACUUGCAUCACUACCAGAUGGACCUGCGUUGUAUUAGCUAGUUGGUGGGGUAAGGGCUCACCAAGGCGACGAUACAUAGCCGACCUGAGAGGGUGAUCGGCCACACUGGGACUGAGACACGGCCCAGACUCCUACGGGAGGCAGCAGUAGGGAAUCUUCGGCAAUGGACGGAAGUCUGACCGAGCAACGCCGCGUGAGUGAAGAAGGUUUUCGGAUCGUAAAGCUCUGUUGUAAGAGAAGAACGAGUGUGAGAGUGGAAAGUUCACACUGUGACGGUAUCUUACCAGAAAGGGACGGCUAACUACGUGCCAGCAGCCGCGGUAAUACGUAGGUCCCGAGCGUUGUCCGGAUUUAUUGGGCGUAAAGCGAGCGCAGGCGGUUAGAUAAGUCUGAAGUUAAAGGCUGUGGCUUAACCAUAGUAGGCUUUGGAAACUGUUUAACUUGAGUGCAAGAGGGGAGAGUGGAAUUCCAUGUGUAGCGGUGAAAUGCGUAGAUAUAUGGAGGAACACCGGUGGCGAAAGCGGCUCUCUGGCUUGUAACUGACGCUGAGGCUCGAAAGCGUGGGGAGCGAACAGGAUUAGAUACCCCGGUAGUCCACGCCGUAAACGAUGAGUGCUAAGUGUUGGGGGCUUUCCGGCCCUCGGUGCUGGAGCUAACGUAUUAAGCACUCCGCCUGGGGAUUACGACCGCAAGGUUGAAACUCAAAAGAGUUGACGGGGACCCGCACAAGCGGUGGAGCAUGUGGUUUAAUUCGAAGCAACGCGAAGAACCUUACCAGCUCUUGACAUCUUCUGACAACUCUAGAGAUAGAGCGUUCCCUUCGGGGACAGAAUGACAGGUGGUGCAUGGUUGUCGUCAGCUCGUGUCGUGAGAUGUUGGGUUAAGUCCCGUAACGAGCGCAACCCUUGUUGUUAGUUGCCAGCAUUAAGUUGGGCACUUUAACGAGACUGCCGGUGAUAAACCGGAGGAAGGCGGGGAUGACGUCAAAUCAUCAUGCCCCUUAUGAGCUGGGCUACACACGUGCUACAAUGGAUGGUACAACGAGCAGCGAUCCCGCAAGGGCUAGCUAAUCUUUCAAAGCCAUUCUCAGUUCGGAUUGCACUCUGCAACUCGAGUGCAUGAAGUCGGAAUCGCUAGUAAUCGCGAAUCAGAAUGUCGCGGUGAAUCCGUUCCCGGGUCU
rnacentral:rRNA from 1 species